AGCUACUCCCCUCGGAGAGGUGGAGUACUUGCAGCGCUGCCAGAGAGCUCUCGCAGCACUGGCGGGGCGACUACACUCGCACUUCACAGCAGCGCUGUGAAUCCAUGAGUGUAGCCAAGGCCUGUGUGUAGCUAGGAGCGUGGGGCACGUCUGGGGACACGCUAGGGUGACCAGACAGCAAGUGUAAAAAAUCAGGACAGGGUAAUAGGAGGCUAUAUAAGAAAAAGCCCCAAAUAGCGGGACUAUCCCUAUACAAUUGGGACAUCUGGUCACCCUAGACCAGGCCUGCACUUAACCUCUGGUGCUGCCUGUGCUCAGCUCAGCUAGCCCCAGGGGUCCUCCUCCUGCCCCUGGCUGGAAGUGCAGCAGCCAGAGAUGGGGAUCAGUAUGUCCCAUGUAGUCUAAGUGCACCUGCAGUGUAGUUUUAGCCAUGUGGCUCCCAGGAUAUUAGAGAAAGGAGGUAGGUGAAGUUUUAUAGGAACGACUUCUUUUGGGGAGAGACAAACUUUGGAGGCACCAGCUCUUAAAUCCACACCUUGGAUUUAUGGCUUAUUACAACAGCCUAUAACCCACUAACCCCCUUUUUGUCCUAUAACUGCAGCAGUACUGCAGUGUCAGCCUACCAUGAAUGGGCCCUUACUUAUGGUAAACAAUCUGUUCCACCUUCCUCAGACCUGAAGAAGAGCUAAGUGUAGCUGGACAGCUUGCCUCUUUCACCAACAGAAGACUAAGCACUGGAAGCCAGCACAAGGGAAGUCCCGUUUUUCAUAUGGAGUCAACAUGAGGAUGUGAAGAUAACUUGGAGCCCGGACACCAGGAAGGGAAUCACAGGGGAUCAUCCUCACUUCGGGGACAAAAACAAUGAAUUUUGGGAAAUAUAAGUAGAAAGACAUUUUUGUGAUCCAUUCAUCGAGGGAAGCCCUUGAAGAGCGGUGUUGUUCAUGAAUAUUUGGAUCCUAGUUGACAGAAAACCAACCAGCUUUGCAAGAGAUUGGAUCUUUUGUAGUACUUUAUUUAAAGGAAAGGUCGCUAUCGAUAAGUUUUUUGCAUCUUAUGUUUUUGUUUUGUAUGUAACCUAUCGUUCCUAUUAUUCUUACUCACUAUCUCUUAAAUCUUAAUAUUUGAUAAUAAACAUGAGAUUGCUUCACUAUA